GGAGACUGUAAUGCUGUAAUGCUGUCUGCUGUUGACGUGCCGGGAACAGAAGGAACUCGUGUGACCUGCAAGUGACUGGCUACGGAUUGCACCUGUUCUACCGCAACUGGGAGCCCAUUGGCCCGCCGAAGGUGGUGCAAUCUGUAUUUUGACAGCAUGCCACAGGAUUUUGCUGGUAUUGUUUUGAUUAGCCUCAUGAUCCAAACGAACCCUGAGCCUGUGACACCCUUUAAGGUGGAGUUCACCUGAGAUCAGGUUUCCCGCUCACCUGUCCCUGGAUCAUUCUCUAUCACCAUGAGGUCUCUUACGUAUGUGUGCCUGAUAAAAGAAACCCUCACCUUCCCCAAGUUGUCUUGCACCAGACAUGGUCCUGAUACACUCUUAUUCACCAAAUCCAAACUGGACAACUUCAUAUUUGCUCAAGCAGCUCGACUAUCUCUCAUCGCGUUAGGUUAUUGAAUAUUUCUGUUCAUAUAAUUCAUAUCAUUAUGCUGUCCUGUGUUGACCAGAAGAGGAUGGCUUCCCCCUUUGAGUCUUGCUUUCUCUUGAUGUUUCUUCCUCUAAUGCCCAGGGUGUCCGUUUGGGCUUAGACCCGGACAUGUGUAAAGCUGUUUUGUGACAACAGCUUUUGUAAACAUACUAUAUAAAUAAACUUUGAUUGGCUGAUUA